rnacentral:rRNA from 1 species
AGAGUUUGAUCCUGGCUCAGAGUGAACGCUGGCGGCAGGCCUAAUACAUGCAAGUCGAACGGCAGCACAGCAGAGCUUGCUCUGUGGGUGGCGAGUGGCGGACGGGUGAGGAAUACAUGGGAAUCUGCCCAGUCGUGGGGGAUAACGUAGGGAAACUUACGCUAAUACCGCAUGCGCCCUUCGGGGGAAAGCCGGGGACCUUCGGGCCUGGCGCGAUUGGAUGAGCCCAUGUCGGAUUAGCUAGUUGGCGGGGUAACGGCCCACCAAGGCGACGAUCCGUAGCUGGUCUGAGAGGAUGAUCAGCCACACUGGAACUGAGACACGGUCCAGACUCCUACGGGAGGCAGCAGUAGGGAAUAUUGGACAAUGGGCGCAAGCCUGAUCCAGCCAUGCCGCGUGAGUGAAGAAGGCCUUCGGGUUGUAAAGCUCUUUUGUCCGGAAAGAAAAGCUUCGGGUUAAUACCCCUGGAGUCCUGACGGUACCGGAAGAAUAAGCACCGGCUAACUUCGUGCCAGCAGCCGCGGUAAUACGAAGGGUGCAAGCGUUACUCGGAAUUACUGGGCGUAAAGCGUGCGUAGGUGGUUUGUUAAGUCUGAUGUGAAAGCCCUGGGCUCAACCUGGGAAUGGCAUUGGAUACUGGCAGGCUAGAGUGCGGUAGAGGGUAGUGGAAUUCCCGGUGUAGCAGUGAAAUGCGUAGAGAUCGGGAGGAACAUCUGUGGCGAAGGCGACUACCUGGACCAGCACUGACACUGAGGCACGAAAGCGUGGGGGAGCAAACAGGAUUAGAUACCCUGGUAGUC